UUUUAUGAGAGUUUGAUCCUGGCUCAGGACGAACGCUGGCGGCGUGCCUAAUACAUGCAAGUCGAACGCUUCUUUUUCCACCGGAGCUUGCUCCACCGGAAAAAGAAGAGUGGCGAACGGGUGAGUAACACGUGGGUAACCUGCCCAUCAGAAGGGGAUAACACUUGGAAACAGGUGCUAAUACCGUAUAACAAUCAAAACCGCAUGGUUUUGAUUUGAAAGGCGCUUUCGGGUGUCGCUGAUGGAUGGACCCGCGGUGCAUUAGCUAGUUGGUGAGGUAACGGCUCACCAAGGCCACGAUGCAUAGCCGACCUGAGAGGGUGAUCGGCCACAUUGGGACUGAGACACGGCCCAAACUCCUACGGGAGGCAGCAGUAGGGAAUCUUCGGCAAUGG
rnacentral:rRNA from 1 species